GGAGGAUUCUUGCCACUGGUUCCUUGCAGCUGUGACUCCCCAGGGUAAGAGGCAAAGAGCCACCAGGUCCCAGCUGAGGAAGCCCUGUGGUCAGCUCAGACAGGGAUGCGGACUGAAGCCGAAGCAGGUGUUAGUAAUUGUCGUACCUACAGACGAGGAAACCGAGCCUCCAUGAAGUGAAGUGACUCACCCACAGUCACACAGCUAAUAUAUGCCAGAGCCCACAGCAGAACCCAGACGUACUGAGGCCAAGUUCCAUGCCAGCAUAAAACAGGCUCCAGUUCUCCCUGGAUUCCAGGAACACCAUCUCCUUCCUCGUCCCUUCCAUCCCAGGGAAGGUCUCCUGGUUCUUCUAGCCCCUCUAACUUCCUCUCAUCUCUCCUGUAACAACAAUGAUCAGAAUGAUACCUGAGGAAUAAACCAUAAGAAAAAUGAGCAUUGAGAGGGUUUACACUGAAAAUUUUUUGUGAUGAAAAGAUUUGAAGAAGAUGACAGGAGAUGGAGAAGCACCAGCUGAUCUGCAGACUCCAAGGAGGUCCCAGGAAGAGGUGUCAUCCACUAAGAUCUUCUGGGACAGGAAAGCCCUGUGAUACCUCUUACAUCACACCAAACAGAGCCCCAC
rnacentral:lncRNA from 10 species